rnacentral:rRNA from 1 species
CCUACGGGAGGCAGCAGUGGGGAAUAUUGGACAAUGGGGGCAACCCCGAUCCAGCCAUGCCGCGUGAGUGAUGACGGCCUUAGGGUUGUAAAGCUCUUUUCUCCGGGACGAUAAUGACGGUACCGGAGGAAUAAGCCCCGGCUAACUUCGUGCCAGCAGCCGCGGUAAUACGAAGGGGGCUAGCGUUGCUCGGAAUCACUGGGCGUAAAGGGCGCGUAGGCGGCUGACUUAGUCGAGGGUGAAAGCCCGUGGCUCAACCACGGAAUGGCCUUCGAUACUGGUUGGCUUGAGACCGGAAGAGGACAGCGGAACUGCGAGUGUAGAGGUGAAAUUCGUAGAUAUUCGCAAGAACACCAGUGGCGAAGGCGGCUGUCUGGUCCGGUUCUGACGCUGAGGCGCGAAAGCGUGGGGAGCAAACAGGAUUAGAUACCCUGGUAGUCCACGCUGUAAACGAUGAAUGCUAACCGUUGGUCUGCAUNNAGUCAGNGGCGCGCACACAUAANANAUCCGUCCGUCGGGAGGUACGGUCGCGAAGAAGUUAAACUAACAAAGUAAGUAGUAGUUACGNGUAGAGAGCGACGACGACGACGAGGAGGAGGAG